rnacentral:rRNA from 1 species
CUCAAAGGGUGGUUAAACACACAAAUUAAAUAAGGCUAAAAACUAACUCUGCUGUCGCACGCAAUAGUUAAAAUAAGUACAACUUCGAAAGUAGCCCUACUAAAAUAAGCUUGAACCCACGACAACUAGGGAACAAACUGGGAUUAGAUACCCCACUAUGCCUAGUUAUAAACUUUGAUUUAUCCGCCAGAAUACUACGAGCAACAGCUUAAAACUCAAAGGACUUGGCGGUGCUCUACACCCCCCUAGAGGAGCCUGUUCUAUAAUCGAUAAUCCACGAUAAACCUCACCAUCUAUUGCCAAUACAGCCUAUAUACCACCGUCCAGCCCACCCUUCAAAGGGCCAACAGUAGGCAUAAUUAUAAACAUAAGAACGUCAGGUCAAGGUGUAGCAUAUAAAAUGGGAAGAAAUGGGCUACAUUUUCUAAUUUAGAAAAUUACGGAAAAGCUUGUGAAACAAAACUAUAAAGGAGGAUUUAGCAGUAAAAAGAAAAAAGAGCGUUCUUUUUAAACCGGCAAUGGAGCGCGCACACACCGCCCGUCACCCUCUUCAAACAACCAAAACAAUAAAUAAACAAAACCCCCUAAAAAGAAGAGGCAAGUCGUAACAUGGUAAGUCUACCGGAAGGUGAACUUGGAACAUCAAUUUAUAGCUUAGUUAAAGCAUCUU